rnacentral:rRNA from 1 species
AUUGAACGCUGGCGGCAGGCCUAACACAUGCAAGUCGAACGAGUGGCGGACGGGUGAGUAAUGUCUGGGAAACUGCCCGAUGGAGGGGGAUAACUACUGGAAACGGUAGCUAAUACCGCAUACCAUCGGAUGUGACCAGAUGGGAUUAGCUAGUCGGUGGGGUAACGGCUCACCUAGGCGACGAUCCCUAGCUGGUCUGAGAGGAUGACCAACCACACCGGGACGUGGACAAGGGCCAAGACCCUUCGGGAUGCAGCAGGGGGGAAUAUUGCACAAAGGGCGGCAGGCUGAUUCAACCCUGGCGCGUGUAGAAAGAAGGCUUCGGGGUGGAAAGGAAUUUCAGCCGAGGAGCGGUACUCGCAGAAGAAGCACCGGCUAACUCCGUGCCAGCAGCCGCGGUAAUAC